GCAUGGUCUGCAUGGUCUGCACGGUCUGCGGUCUGCAGACUACAUGGUCUGCGUUUUGGGGUGACUGCCCUCGCUUAGCAUAUCUCCAUGUUGUGAGUAGAAAACAAUAAGUCAUUCUAAGAUCGUUCUCUCCAGUUUAGAAGGCCCCUGUUCAUUUUUGAGGUGUCUCUGUGUUUGUCUUUUUGCUAAUUUUUAAAUCCAUUUAAAUGCUCUGCCUAAAGGUAAUGUAAGUGUUUACCAACAUGUCUUUGGUUCUAGUUUUGUUUGUGCAGCUGUAGUCAAAUUGGAUAAGGAGCACAAAAGAUUUGAGUUUUACGGACCUCCGCAUCUUUGGAAUGGCAAAACCAUUAAGGGACAUAUAACAGGCAAUUCAACCCUCUACAUAUUGGAGGAUAAGGUGCCAGAUUCAGAUACAGAACUGAAUGCUACCAACAUUCCACGAGGGGAUGAUGAUGUCGUGAGCUACAUUGCUACGAACGUAAAUCAGACACCCCAUGUUAUCGAGACUGAAAUGGAAGUGGAUGGCAGCAAACAAGGAAAUGAUGAUGAAUUAGAUAUGUAUGGCAUUCCCGCCUCAAGUCUAAACCAGGUGAGAUGAUUUUGAUAUACACUUUGAUCAGUGUUCAACAAUAGUUGGAUCACGUGUACUAAAGGCAUCCUAGUUGAGUGUCAAU